ACGCGAUCCCCUCAGCUUCUGUCCUUUCUUCAACCCACCGAUUCGUUUUCUACAUUAUGAAUUGUUACCGUCUGAACAUCUACGCGAUCCAAUUACAAUAGAAGCAUAAAUCCCUAUAUAUAUGCAUAAGAGCAAAUCUUCCCCCAAACGGCAGAACAGAGACCCCUCUUUCAAAUGACUGAAGAUUGGUUAUCCCGUAACCAGACGCAGAGGGAGAAAUUCAGUUCCAUAACCUCCAUAUAAAUACCAUCAUACUUGUUCCCUCCCUCCCACUUCUGUUAAAUUGUUAGAAACCUAGACUCAUGGGUAAAGGAAUUAUUUGAUUCAGUGCUUUGUCAGUUCAAAAAUAGAAUCUAGCUAAGGAGCACAUGUCCUAUUUUUGUAGGUGAUAUAUACUCGAAGGCAUGAAACUGGUAUUUAAUAAUACUCCAGGUGAGAUAUAUGCAGUUGUUAUGGAUUGUGGUUUCGAGGAAAACAAUUAUGGAACUCAAUAUGCAGCCGCUAAGUUUCUAAAGCUUGAUCGACAUCUUUUAUCAGUUGUUAAUUAGUACUAGGAUUCUUAUGCAUGUCUACUGUUGUUUAGGAAACUAAAGACAUGAUGGUUCUGUUUGGGACGAAAAAGAAAAGUAGCACCAGGUGUGUUAACCCAAUGCUUAGGUGAUUAACUGCAGAUAAAAAAAAUUAUCCCCUGUUUGAGCAGUAUGGAAGUACACAUGGUUAUUUGGUCAGUGGCCUUCUUGGCAUAUGUAGAUUUUCUGCGUUCUGAAUUUUUAGCCCUUGUGAUUCUUGUAGGUUAUGCUUUAUUUAGGCGUAUAACUUGUACUUCCAUUGCUCUACAUUUUACUUAAAUCACAUAUUUGACACUUUGUACAAUCUGCAGUUAAUUACUAAAUCCCAGAGGAGUUCUACAUUAUUUCAUUAGUCCAUUUAGAGCAUGUCAAUUGGAUGUACAAGUUAUUUAGGGGUAAAAUCAACUUCCCUCUGAAGUCUGCUGCUGGUCAUGCUCUUUUAUAUGGUGGUCUGAUCUGGUCACACUCUUUCGACAGUCGAUGCAUAUUUUCUUUUGGGUAAUUUGCUUCACCUAAGCUUCAGUAGCACUCUGCAUGGCCCUUUGAGUUCAUAUCUUCUAUUGGUGUCUGAAAACUAUCAUUUUUGGUCAGCUGAUAUCACUCUAUUCAUGCUAUCAAUUUUUCUUUCUCACUAUAUGGUAGUCCUUGACCUGUUUGUGUCAUCGGAGAAGGGAAUUUUCCUUUUUUUUCACUUUUAUCUUGUUUCCUUUUAAUAUAUUGGUUUUAGUUGUAUAUUACAGAAGGAUUGGACAUGGAGAUCUAAGAUGGAAGCGGUUGUGUAUAUACUGUACCUUUGUAUAUCUUUCCAAGUUCCAUCUUGCCUUAUCAUACAUUUUAAAAGAACAGUUGUUUUCUGAGUCAUUGGUGUACUUAUGUUGUGUUGUCACCAACCAUGAGUAUAUAACAGUUUGUUGGACAAAAGUAUUCUUGUGGUUUGUGCCAUGGUUGGGCACCAUCUUAAAUAUAAAAUGAUAACAUUGCAAACAUUUUUAUUUUGAAGGGCCAACAAGAAAGGAUUUCUUCCGGCAGCAUAACAAAGAACCCAUUGGGUGGAUGCAACACCCGAAUGCCUUUUUGACUAAAUCAUUUUAAUUAACUAAUUACAGUGGCGGAGCUAGAUGGGGAGGCAAAGGGCAAAUACAUCAAUUCUUGAGCAGUCCAAAAACUAUAAUUUGUUGAAUUAAGCACCCCCAAGAGUUCUUUAUUCACACAUUUUUUCAAGGUUGGGGGUUUAAUGGCAGAAGAUCAAGCACUCCGUCCUCUGCCAGGUCGCCGCCGCUGCUCGGGACGUAGACGCGCACAUGGGUCCGUCAGUCGUUGGCAAACGAGGUCGAGUCCGUGCGGAGCACUGGUCUCCUCGCUGUCGUCGUCGUCCUCCCUGCUGCCAGCGACGCCCUCCUGUCUCCUCUGCACCAGUCUACUCCUUCAUAUUAUUUACAAAAGAAAAUGGUUUGGGGUGAAGAGUUGAAGGCUUGAAGCCAAAUGUUCCUAAUCAAGAAGAUGACCCGCACAACUCCCAUGAAACAAGGCCAGCACUAUGUGCCAAGAUUGAAGAUCCCAAAUAUGUUUACUUUGGUCCAAUAUCGUAUAGCAGUGUAAUGCUUCAGGCACUUUUUAUCAUUCAUUUUUAUUAUUCAAAUUUCUAUAUGGUUGCCAUAGAUGCUACUAUUACAUGGAUUUAUUACUAUUUUUCAUGUGUUGUUGAAAAUAGAACUCACUCAUUUAUUUGUCUACGGAGGGAGUAGCAUACA